AUGUGAAGACUACAGCACUCC
rnacentral:piRNA from 1 species